rnacentral:rRNA from 1 species
AAUACGUAGGUGGCGAGCGUUGUCCGGAUUUACUGGGCGUAAAGGGCGUGCAGGCGGUCGGUUAAGUCCAGGGUGAAAGCUCCCGGCUCAACUGGGAGAGGUCCUUGGAUACUGGCGGACUUGAGGGGGGUAGAGGAGAGUGGAAUUCCCGGUGUAGUGGUGAUAUGCGUAGAUAUCGGGAGGAACACCAGUGGCGAAGGCGGCUCUCUGGGCCCUACCUGACGCUGAGACGCGAAAGCGUGGGGAGCGAACCGGA